AGUUCGAUCGGGUCCACCGAGCGGGUCACCACGAGGUAGUCGCGGAUGGCGAUGCCGUGGCGGUUCUC
rnacentral:sRNA from 1 species